GUCUACAAGAUGAGAUGUAAUUACUCUGGACGAAGUUACAAUCGAUUCCGAAUCUCAAGGAACCGGAAGCAGGGAGGAGGACCGACGGAAGGACUGAUGACCUGCUUGCUGGGCAAGUCUUCACCAUUUCUUGAGAAAUGAAGGUCUACAAGAUGAGUUGUCAUUCUGGACGAAGUUACACUCGAUUCCGAAUCUCGAGGAGCCGGAAGCAGGGAGGAGGACCGACGGAAGGACUGAUGACCUGCUUGCUGGGCAAGUCUUCACCAUUUCUUGAGAGAUGAAGGUCUACAAGAUAAGAAGUCAUUCUGGACCAAGUUACAAUCGGUUUCGAAUCCCAAGGAGCCGGAAGCAGGGAGGAGGACCGACGGAAGGACUGAAGACCUGCUUGCUGGGCAAGUCUUUACCAAUUCUUGAGAGAUGAGGGUCUAGCUACAGGAUGAGUUGUCAUUCUGGACGUUCCGAAUCCCAAGGAACCGGAAGCAGGGAGGAAGACCGACGGAAGGACUGAUGACCUGCUUGCAGAGCCAAGUCUUCACCAAUUCUUGAGAUUCAUCUGGCUUUGAGUAAGCAGGAGAAAUGGUGACAAUAUACACACGGAGUACAGUCUUUCACCACUCCACUAUAAGUUUUACAAUGCUUAUUAUAUAGUUUCCUUCUGAUCCAUCGCUCCCAAGUAGGAUUUAGACCAUUUCACUCAACCGAAAGCACGAUUUAACAAACAAGUGUUUUAGGCCAUGGGUCAUGGAGAAGUUUAAAUGUGUGCUUAUAGAUCUCGGUAAAGCAUUUGAUUGUGUCGAUCAUGUAAAACUGCUGAACAUGUCAACUUCUUAACUCAAUUAGUUUAAGUCAUGGGCUUCAAUCGGUGGGCAUGGGGGGGGGGGGGAGGGCAAUUAGUCCCACAACUUUUUAAAGUGGGGGAGGGAGGUACAUAUCCCACGACAAUAUUCUCAACAAAAUCUCUGAAAAUAGCCUUACAGAGUUUCCUUAAAUGUAUACCUCCCUCACUAGCGGAUAUGUUUGCUAAGCUAAACUGGUUUCAAUGUUCUUAAGUCUAAAAAAGGCUAUUCUUGUUUUCAAAAGUCUGAACAAAAUGACUCCUUUGUGCACGACGAAUCUGUUAAAUUCGUGAAACAAGACAAUCAAGUAACAUGGCAUUGGAAGCCUCUUUCGCCCAAUAGACCUUUAACAUGCUGCUACCAUUUUAGUCUUUUUCCCUGUAUCCAAUAACAGUACUAAAAAGAUAAUGUUUUGUGCCAAUAUCUAGGAACCAGACUAAUUUUCCUUCCAGCCUCGCUUUCGUUGCGUUGAUUUGAAUGGGAAAAAUCAAGAUGGCCGCAACAUGGUAAUAGUCUAUUAAAAGGAGUGCUAGCGGCCAUAAGCUUCGCUGUGUGGAGAAAUUUGUAUGGAAUAAUUUACAUGACCAACUAAGAAUCAUGGAUUUCCUGCCGUAAAGCCAUUAGCCAGUGAUAUUUCUGCCACUAACACACUAGUUAAAAAAUGCGCUAAUCUACGAAGUUAUAAACUUGGUUGCCAUGGAAAUUUGGAGCCGGAUCGGGAAUUUCCCCGUGUUUUUUUCCCCAAAAGGGUUUUCGCGGGGUUUUCGCCCAUCUCGUAAUCAGCAAAUCAGUGCCUUUUACUAAAAUGUUUAAAGUGAACUUUAUAUUGUGUAAAUAUUCGUAUAGCACUUGUGUUUGUAUAAGUGUUUGUAUAAGUUUGUAUUAGGUAGUAUUCAAAUGAUUCCUAUGUACAUUUUUUUCUCGUAAAUUUUACUUUGCUUAACUUUAUAAUUUCUACUGCAUGCAGGGCCGGGUCCCAAUGUAAACUAGUUAAACGUUUGGGCAGGCCCCGGGCAACGAAAUUUAAUAAAUAAAUAGAGGAUUAGAAAGGGAAUCAUGAUAUUUCCAAUUUGUUGGUUUUAUUAAAAUAAAUCCACAAGUGGGGAAAACGAUAAUUCAUUUUCCGUCCGUCCAAAGUCCAUUUUUAUUUUUAGUGGCUUUCAAAUUAUUCCUCUUCGUACAUUUACACACUCGACAUUUAAUUUUAUUUUCUUCGUAAUACCAUAAUUUAUAUAAUGUAUAUUUUUAAUUACAGAUGUAGUGGCAAUUUUGCAGAUUAAACUUGAGUGAAAACUUGCUGUAUUAAAUAUUUAGUUGUGUCAGUAUCAAUCAACUCACAUCAAUCAAUCUAGUUUUAUUUCAUAACUUCAUAAUGAAAACAUAUAAAGUACGUAACUUAAUAGAUAAACAAAACAUAAAAGUAAAUGACAAAGAUAAGUAACAAAGAUAAAUGAAAAGCAGAGAAUCUAUGAGGAAGUUGUAAGAAGUCCAAGGACUUAUGAAACACUCCCUUUUAACCCCCCCCCCCCGAGAGAAAAUCCCAAGUGUUCCCUUUACGCCCAACUACCACACCCCAACCUAAGAUGUUCCAUUAACUUCAAGACAAGAAUGUAUGUAUAAAACAAUGUACAAUGUAAACACUGUGAGAGUGGUAAAGUAGUAAUAAACAAAAUAAACAAAA
rnacentral:lncRNA from 1 species